UACGUAGGGUGCAAGCGUUGUCCGGAAUCAUUGGGCGUAAAGGGUGCGCAGGUGGCAUGACAAGUUCGAUGUGAAAGCCCCGGGCUUAACCCGGGAAUGGCAUUGAAUACUGCCGUGCUGGAGGAUUGGAGGGGGGACUGGAAUUCUUGGUGUAGCAGUGAAAUGCGUAGAUAUCAAGAGGAACACCAGUGGCGAAGGCGAGUCCCUGGACAAUACCUGACACUGAGGCACGAAAGCCGGGGGAGCAAACAGG
rnacentral:rRNA from 1 species